AGAAACCAACCUACUAAGAAAUGAAGCUCUUGCCCAACUUCUUACAGAUAUAAGUAGGAAAGUGGAAGUCAUAUUCAAAUAGAAAUGUGGACUGCAGAUGCUGAGGCCUUGAUUGGCUCACAACACUGUCUGCAGCAUUCAGGUUAAAUGCCACAUGGAUGAAAAAACAUUUUGAUAUCUUUCAACAGAACAAGGCAGUGUCUGAGAACAAGAGAGGCAGUUGGAAGCCAUCUGAUUGUCCACGUGUGACAGAUUCUUAAUGGAAUACUUCACAUCUACAGGAAAACAUGGAGCCUAUCAUCUACCAAAAGGAACAGGAGAAAAACAACAGGGCUUGUGUCAUUUACAACCCAUUUUCUUGAAAGCACUUUUGCCUUGAGCUCUGUCUGGUUCACUACUGCCUGUAGGAUUAUUACCUAAUACUGAGACAAUCAUAUACAGCUGCUUAAUGUGAAUUAAAUUGAAUAAAAUGGUAGAUAGGCAAUUUAGAUUCUGGCAAAACUAUAAUUGGAGAGUUAAUAGGAAACCAAAAUCUUUCAAGAAAAAAAUUUGACUAUAAAUUGACAUUGUCAAACAUUUUGAUUAUUUAAAUUAGCCACAGAAAAUUGACAAAAAUACACUCUGGUUUAUGUAACUUACAGCAAAUGAAAAAGAUUAAAAGACAGUUGUGAGGCUGUAUGCCCUUGUCAUCAUAACUAUUUUACUUUUGUUUCAUUUGCCCCUAAAUUAUAUAAAAUAGCUUCAAAUUUAUCAACACAUCAUUUAAUCAAUCUGAGAAGUCUUAUUUAUCCAUUGAUUAUAAUAAUAUAAAAAUAACA